UUUAUCAAAUCUAGACUAUUUUUCAAACUAUACUGAGGAUUGAAUAACGGAUUUGUUUUUUAUUAUUACAUUAAGUUUUUUGGCAAGGUCGUACGUCGGGGUACUGAUAUAAGAAACUACUGGACGGACAGGAUUAUUUUCUUCGUGAAUUUUAGGUAAACCGUAUAAGAUGGGAGGUCGCGGGUUCAUGGGAACUACGUAUUUUAAUUUACUUGGAGAAAUAAAUGACGAAUUUUUAACGGACUCUUUUAAUUCUGAAGUAAAGUUUUUAGUGGGGUCCGAGUUCAGACGUUCAAAAUCGUCGGUUUGCUAAAAAUUAAUUUAGAAUAACAAUGCAAUUACCUUUAUCGGCUUUUGAAAUGACUAAAUUUUCUUGAUUUAAUCUAUUUUGUAAAGAAGUAAAAACAUGUUUAUCUGAAGUGUUUUGGUUUUAAGUGGUACACGAUGGUUUUUUCAAAAGGGUCGAAAUUUGAUAUCUAACGGCCAUAUCUUGUUGACUUCUAACACACGCCACUUCUGAAUCUACUGCCAAUGUAUCAAGGGUUUUUUGGUUAAGACCCGGUCUGAUAUUGUAUUUAAGGCCUUUUUGUAGUAAUUUCAGGGGGAGAAAGUUGUGUUUUGUGCAUCAUCGUGAUAGCAGUUAUUGUUUUGACUAUCCCGUAAUAGCUGUGCCAAUUUUCUAGACUGUAUUUGAUAUUUUUCUUGUACGAGUCUAUUGGCUAAUACCCGCGCUUUAUUGUCUAAAAUGUCAAACUCGAUGUUAUGUAAUUUGAAUGUCAAUUCGGAAUAUAACACUCUCAAGUGAAGCUUGAGAUUGUCUCUAACUGAAAACCAAUAUCGGCACUCUUCGUUUAACCAUAUUUGUUUACAUUUAUUUACGGCUAUAGUACUUGCGCGUGAAUGUGUUUUAGAUCGGAUGUUGAUGUAAUUAGGGAUGACUUUUAGAUGUUUACACUGUUGAUUGAACCAAACGUUUUGGGCUGCCAGACGCUGAAGCUUGGUUAACUUGAUGUAAUGCCAGGGAAAAAAGAACUCAAUUUACAAAUUAUUUUGGAACGAAGGAAAAGUACCAUGGCAAAAUCAUAUGAUACAUUGAUAAAUAAGUGUGUUUUAAUAAAUAAUAUGCUACUAAAAUAAAAAUAAAUAAAAAUCUUUAAAUACAUACGUGUGUAUUACGCUUCACCAUCACAUUUUUAAUAAAUGAAUUGAAUUCGGCGAACCAUUUCACUUUGGGUUGGUAAACAUUGCCACUAGCACCAGAUGUGGAUGACUUCUUAAUCUUGUCUAGUUCAAGGUAGUAUGUCGAACGAAUACUUUUUAUUUGGUUUUUCACAUCUUCCAAUGUGAAUCCUUCAAUUUCCAUACCAAUGCACAGAUUUUGCAAAGCAAUUUGGCGCAUAGCUUUGUUUUUAUAAUGUUCUGAUGUUAUAUCCCAUAAACACGGAUUUUCUCUGUAUAUAGUGACAAACUUUACAGUUUCGUCUUCAGAUAACUUCUUCACCAUUGUUAAAUCUAUUUUCUUCGCAAAAAAAGUCCCUUAAAACAACCAACACGUGUGUACUUCGUCAGCACUGGAAUGGCACUGGAUUGGCCGUCUACAUUAUUCCAGUUGCACUGGAUUGAUCGCACUGGAUUCAAAAGUAGACCGCGAAUCCAGUUACUGGACUGGAAUGCUUACUGGAUUCAGUUCAUUCCAGUGCCGGUUUACAUUUUUCCAGUAAGCAAUCCAGCACUGGACUGGAUCGCUGGACUGGAAUAAUGUAAACCAGCCAUAAUAUUUUAUUAUGUUAUAAUUUUUCUUUAAAACUGUGUUAUUACGUAAUCAUAAUGAGUAAAAGCACGAUAAUAGUGUUAUAAUGUAAUUAAAAUUUGUGACAAUCUCAAUACUCCAUAUGCAUUUAAGUGAAGUCAUUAAAAAAUUACUUCUUAAAUAAAUAACUUACUCUCUUCUAAAAUCAACAUAUUUCUACCAGAAGUAAUAAACUAGCCAUAAACAGUAUAAAAUCCUAAGUUUUAACAGACUUUAAAAUAAAUAUUCUUAACUUUUAUUUUAAGUUAUUCUAAAUAACCGCCUCUUACACGCGCGUUAGCGUCGACCGUUGACCAGCCUCGGCGGAAACCGAACUGCCGAAUACUCAGCCCCGGCCCGACCUGUUCGAGGUGGUCGACGCGCGGAAAUAAUCCGCUCGAAGAGCUUGCUCACCUCGUCGAGCAACACUAUGGGCCGGUACGCCGACGGCGAGUUCACCGGGUGACCCUCCUUGCGCAGCAACACGAGCCUGCCGAUCUUCCACUUCUUCGGAAAGCGACCAAGCCGCAUACACGAGUCGAAGAGUUCGAGCACUCUCGGCCUGAGGGCCUCCAAGGCGAGCACCCACACCCUACCGGGUACCCCGUCGGGGCCCGGUGCGGUGCUCUUAGCGCAGAGCCGCUGGACCGCGGCUUCCAGCUCCUCUUGGGACACCUCGAGUAUCGAGGCGUCCGGGCACUCCGACGCUGCAGCCGCCAUAGGCGGAGGCGACGAGUCAGCCCUCUCUGGAAAGAGAGUGGCGAUGAAGUUUGCAACAAACUCAGGUUGGAGACUUUGGGUCAGAGGAGGGGCCCAGGGCAAAGCUGAUCACGCACCGUCUUGUAGGACGCCCCCAGGGAUCUCUAUUCAGAGUUUCCAACCACUCUCCCCACGACUCGAACUUUGCCUCAGCUAUGGCGAUCUGCAAUGUAGUGCAUCUCCCCCUGUACGCGGCGUAUAGGCGGCUUUCCUCGGCAUCCACCCGUCUUCGCCGCCUUCUGUAGUGAGUGUACUGGCGUCUGGCUGAAACGCACGUUUCAUGGAGACGGCGUAGGUUCGCCGACCACCAGUACACCCAUCUGCGGGACGGGAGCAGAUUGGCGCGGGACAUGCCGGCGUCGCACACCUGCAUCAUCGACUCGCUCAACGGCUCCGCUCGCCGGUCCACAUCAGCCGCCGGCCCCUCUGGCGCCAGCUGCCAAGCCUGGACGAUGGACGCCUCGACGAUGACGUCACCGUCCAUGGUCUUGAGAGCCCAACGCGGUCCGUCCCCGUGUGGGGGUCGGUAAUGUGAAGCUCCAGGAUUAGCGGUGACCUCGAACCGGAUGUACCGAUGGUCCGACAGCGUCUCCGCCUCCCCGAGCACCCUCCAGUUUCGGACACGGCGCGCAAGACACGGUGUUGCCAACGUGAGGUCCACGAUGGAUCCCCCAUUGUGCCGCACACACAUGUCUACCGACCCCCGGUUCAGAAGAACUAAACCCGACGUGGCAGCCCACUCCUCCAAUACCUCACCCCGCGCAUCGGUAAUCGGGGAACCCCAGGCCGUUGACUUAUGGGGGGUUCACACGGGUCGAUUUUCGCCGUGCAGCGAGUCGCUUCACUAAUUGCCUCACCAAGCCGCAUCGCUAGCCCAUUUACACUGGUUACUAAAAUCGCAUGCGGCUCUGUCAUUUCCAUCGAAAAUGUUGAGCAGAAUAGCCGUUUGUGCCGGAAUUGAAAUAAUUAAUUAUUCAAUUAUUCAACAAUUGCUUAAAGAACAAAGAGUGAAGAAAAACCAAAAGGAAAGAAGAAAACGUUUUGUUUGGGUACGUGAUGGAUUUCUCGACGUAAGGACUUGGGUGCUUCGGAUACUUUAUUGGUUCAGUGGAGUUUAGAAGAUCCUGAUUAUUUUAAAAAACGAUUAAUAAUGACUACUGAUCAGUUUAAUACUUUACUACAUAAGGUUACUCCGCUUAUACAAAAAUGCGAUACCAAUAUGCGAGUAGCACUUUCUCCGAAAAUGAAAUUAAAAAUAACCCUGAAGUUCUUGGCUACCGGUGAUAACUAUUCAAGUCUUGCAGAGUCAUUUAGAGUUCCAGAAUGCACAAUUUCCUUGUUUUUGAAGGAUGUUUUGGAUGCUAUAUACAAUGUUUUACGGGAGUUCAUUAUGGUGCCAUCCACCACAGAUCAAUGGAAGAAAAUACAAAAGGAUUUUUUAGAUCGCUGGAAAUAUCCUUUUCGUUGUGGGGCUAUUGACGGGAAACACGUAUUAAUCGAAAAUCCACCACACGGAGCAUCAGACUAUUAUAAUUACAAAGGCACUUAUAGUGUGGUGUUGUUUGCUAUAGUGGAUGCACAUUACCGUUUCAUAUAUAUAGAUUUCGGAACUAAUGGACGCAUGAAUGAUUCGCAAAUUUGGAAAAAAACAAAGUUCUAUAGUGCUCUUGAAAGAAAUAAUUUAAAACUACCUAAUAAAGCAGUUUUCGUUGGUGAUGAUGCUUUCCCUUUGGCAACCUAUUUAAUGAAACCGUAUUCAAGACAUGAAGGUUUGGAACACAAACAAAAAAUCUUUAAUUACAGACUAUCAAGAGCACCCGAAUCGUAGAGAAUGCCUUUGGCAUAAUGGCUUCACGAUUCAGAGUAUACAGAAAAUAUCUGUUUCAUUGGAUAAAACUGAUUCUAUUAUUAAAGCGACCUGUGCGCUGCAUAACUGGCUUCGGACUAAUCUCAUAUACAUGAAUACUCCCGAAUUAGUAGACGGAGAAGACUUAAGUUCAGGGACAAUCAGAAACGGAAGUUGGAGAAGCAUUCCUACGGCAGGAGUAGACGAAUUAAUGACACCGCUAUCUUCUAACAACUAUUCACGAAAUGCAAAAGAUCUGCGCGAUAGAUAUGCUGACUAUUUUGUCGGACCAGGAAAAGUUUCAUGGCAAGAUAGAAUGAUUGCGUAAAUAUUGUAUGUUUAUUUAAGUAAUAUUAUAAAAAUGGCUCUGUUCACGAUUUACCUAUUAUAAUUUAUAAUAUGCGAACAAGAAUAACUAUUUAAUAAAUAAUUAUAAGACUUA